rnacentral:rRNA from 1 species
GAUGAACGCUAGCGGGAGGCUUAACACAUGCAAGUCGUGGGGCAGCAUUUGGUAGCAAUACUAAGAUGGCGACCGGCGCACGGGUGAGUAACGCGUAUGCAACCUACCCUGUACAGGGGGGAUAGCCCGGAGAAAUUCGGAUUAAUACCCCAUAAAGAUAUUUAGAGGCAUCUUUAGAUAUUUAAAGUUUCGACGGUACAGGCUGGGCAUGCGCAACAUUAGCUAGUUGGUAGGGUAACGGCCUACCAAGGCUACGAUGUUUAGGGGACCUGAGAGGGUGAUCCCCCACACUGGUACUGAGACACGGACCAGACUCCUACGGGUGGCAG